ACUUAAAUUGAAGAGUUUGAUCAUGGCUCAGAUUGAACGCUGGCGGCAGGCCUAACACAUGCAAGUCGAGCGGUAGCACAGAGAGCUUGCUCUCGGGUGACGAGCGGCGGACGGGUGAGUAAUGUCUGGGAAACUGCCUGAUGGAGGGGGAUAACUACUGGAAACGGUAGCUAAUACCGCAUAAUGUCGCAAGACCAAAGUGGGGGACCUUCGGGCCUCAUGCCAUCAGAUGUGCCCAGAUGGGAUUAGCUAGUAGGUGGGGUAACGGCUCACCUAGGCGACGAUCCCUAGCUGGUCUGAGAGGAUGACCAGCCACACUGGAACUGAGACACGGUCCAGACUCCUACGGGAGGCAGCAGUGGGGAAUAUUGCACAAUGGGCGCAAGCCUGAUGCAGCCAUGCCGCGUGUGUGAAGAAGGCCUUCGGGUUGUAAAGCACUUUCAGCGGGGAGGAAGGCGGUGAGGUUAAUAACCUCACCGAUUGACGUUACCCGCAGAAGAAGCACCGGCUAACUCCGUGCCAGCAGCCGCGGUAAUACGGAGGGUGCAAGCGUUAAUCGGAAUUACUGGGCGUAAAGCGCACGCAGGCGGUCUGUCAAGUCGGAUGUGAAAUCCCCGGGCUCAACCUGGGAACUGCAUUCGAAACUGGCAGGCUAGAGUCUUGUAGAGGGGGGUAGAAUUCCAGGUGUAGCGGUGAAAUGCGUAGAGAUCUGGAGGAAUACCGGUGGCGAAGGCGGCCCCCUGGACAAAGACUGACGCUCAGGUGCGAAAGCGUGGGGAGCAAACAGGAUUAGAUACCCUGGUAGUCCACGCCGUAAACGAUGUCGAUUUGGAGGUUGUGCCCUUGAGGCGUGGCUUCCGGAGCUAACGCGUUAAAUCGACCGCCUGGGGAGUACGGCCGCAAGGUUAAAACUCAAAUGAAUUGACGGGGGCCCGCACAAGCGGUGGAGCAUGUGGUUUAAUUCGAUGCAACGCGAAGAACCUUACCUGGUCUUGACAUCCACAGAACUUUCCAGAGAUGGAUUGGUGCCUUCGGGAACUGUGAGACAGGUGCUGCAUGGCUGUCGUCAGCUCGUGUUGUGAAAUGUUGGGUUAAGUCCCGCAACGAGCGCAACCCUUAUCCUUUGUUGCCAGCGGUCCGGCCGGGAACUCAAAGGAGACUGCCAGUGAUAAACUGGAGGAAGGUGGGGAUGACGUCAAGUCAUCAUGGCCCUUACGACCAGGGCUACACACGUGCUACAAUGGCAUAUACAAAGAGAAGCGACCUCGCGAGAGCAAGCGGACCUCAUAAAGUAUGUCGUAGUCCGGAUUGGAGUCUGCAACUCGACUCCAUGAAGUCGGAAUCGCUAGUAAUCGUAGAUCAGAAUGCUACGGUGAAUACGUUCCCGGGCCUUGUACACACCGCCCGUCACACCAUGGGAGUGGGUUGCAAAAGAAGUAGGUAGCUUAACCUUCGGGAGGGCGCUUACCACUUUGUGAUUCAUGACUGGGGUGAAGUCGUAACAAGGUAACCGUAGGGGAACCUGCGGUUGGAUCACCUCCUUACCUUAAAGAA
rnacentral:rRNA from 2 species